CCCGGCAGCGGUGGGGUUAUGGGGCUGCCUGGGGGCCCUGCGGAGCGGUGGGGAAGCGCUCUGGCCGCUCCACUGUAAUGGCGCCGGGCGGCUGAGGCCGGCAGAGGCGCAGCCUGGGCGCGACGGCGGCAGCCGGGGAGGGGCCCGCGGGCGGCGGCUGGGUUGUCGCUGUGGGGUCUCGCUCCGUGGGGCCUUGCGUCUCUUCAGCGAAAUCCCGCGGGGAGUGCGUGGGCCGCUAGGGCUGAGGCUCCCGAGAUCCUGCCGCCGUCUUGGGCUUAAAGCAAAGAUGUCCUUGGCGUCACCUGGUGUAGCUGUUUGCGGGGAGAGGGGAAGAUGGUGGUCAGCUAGAAAAGCAGUAAUGCUCAACUUCAGUGUUGGCUGCAAAUAAAGGGUAUUUAAAGGGUUGUCGGAUACUUAAUAGCUCGCUGUUUAACUUGUGAUUGUCGGGGCUGUCACUAAAAGCGAAUUAGGACUUGCAGAUCAUCAGCUUAGUUAAAAUUAACGUUAGUAUAUCUGUUCUAAAAUGGCGGAGAACUCUGAACCAAAUCUGGACUACUUUGGGAUUACCUAACAGUAGCGGGGUUACUGUUUUGUCUUCUCUCUACUAUAUUUGGCAAUACAGAAACUGCCUGUUAUUUGAGGAAGUGCAUUUGAUAACGGAUUUAGGAAAAAAAAAAAAAAGGUAGCUUCAAAUCUGCUGUACUUCUGAAAGUGCAGAACUAGAUAUAAAGGAGUUUGUGCACAGAUCAGACUUAGAGUGUAUGGAGGAAGUGCUAGGCUUAUGGGUUUUGAUAUUUCUUUGUUUUCCAUGAUAAUAAAAUAUCUAUACCUUAAGGUUAGAAGGGAUACAGUGUUCCACAUCUUAUUACAGGAGAAUGAUCACAUUAUCUAAUUUUAGGACAGCCUAGUUCAAUACAGUAUCAGAAUUACUGGGGUGUAGAAAGCUGUGGUAUGUUGACAUACUGUGUAGUCUUAUCUUUAGUGUAUGUUUUGAGACUUCAAAGCUUUGGUAUCAUCAUACCUGAACUAGAUUUUGUAUUUUCAAAUACAUGGUGGCAGGUGAUUUUUUUUUUUUCUUCCCCUGUUAAGUUCUGGUGUGUGAUUAGUUCCUUUGUUGCUCAGAAAGUACCCUGGGAAUCCUGACCUCAGAUGUCAGUCCUUGUUACCAUUAUUUUGACUGCCUUCCAACAAAGAUUAUUACUGCUUGUUCCAGUUUGUGUGCUAUUUGGUGAUCAUUUGUUUAUCUUUCUUUUCAAGAACUGCUGGAUCUUGGAAUUUGAAGAGCAGGGACAGGUAGAAGUGAAACCACAUCUUAGUCAGGCAAGGUAGGGGAUUCUAGAGCAUAGUUAUAAGCAGGGAAGGGUAUAUGGGCCUAUAUGUGGCCUUCAUUCUUGAGUUUCACAUUAUAGAAAGCUGAACAGAGUUAUUGACAGGAUUGAACUACAUUCCAUGGAAGACUUAGACUGAUGUUACUGACUAGAAGUCUGCAGUCUUGCUUGGAGCCAGGGAAGCUCAUUCAGCAUCCCAGGUCUGGGGCCAAACAAUCCUUGGCAGCAUUUACUUGGAAGUUUAAACUUCAUUUCAAAGAGUUAUUUUGCUCUGUGUCUAUUCUAGUGCUGUACUCUUCUACCUGCUUUCUUUUGCUGUUCAGAAGUGGCAGCCAAGCUUUUCAGCAAUGCCAUUCAACCUGGUUCUUCAGCUUAUCUUUUUUACAGAAUACUUCUGCAGAUACCGUGCACAACCUUACCUUGGAGAGGAAGGAAAUGCCUUAGGUUAUAAGGGUGGAAGAUAACUGACUGCUAUAUGAACUGGAGCUAUAAUAGUGUGCUUUGACUUUGUGCAUUUCUUUAUGGACAAAGAAGAAAUUAAGUUUCUUUAGGUGCCACAGAAGACCUAUUGUAUUGCUGCUAACUUGUGCAUACAACACUCAUGCCUCCUGAGCACUACAGAACUCUGCAACAAUUUAUAGCCUGGAAUGUAUCAUCUGCCCAUGAGUCAUCAAGUCCCAGUCAAGCUGUAAUACUGCUGGAGAGCUGUUUCACUUUAGUUUCUGAACAAAUAGUGGCCCCUUUUCUAUGCUGCAGGACUCUGGGGACAGGAUCUCCUUGAAUGCUAGUGAGGAGGAGGAUAAGGUGUUUUCUUAGCUCUUGCAAAAGGUAGUACAUAAUGUCCUGUCACAGAUGAAGUAUACCUUCCAAGCCUAGACCAGCCUUCAGGAAGCAGCAGUCAAAAUAGCCACUUCUUUGGCCUUGCAGCACCACUUGUGUAACAGUAUAAAGACAUAAUGGUGUCCAGAACAUGCAGUACCCCUGCUUCCAUAGGAUGGCUGUUGUCUACUUCUUGACAUGGCAGGUACACUUAAAACAGAAUGAGUACAAAGCUGUGGAUUAGGUUAACAAGUUGGUGUUUAAAGUUUUUCUUCUGGACCUGGUCUUAAACUGCUUCUGCAACACCUGAAAUGACAGGUGCCUGAAGAUUAUCUAUCCUGAAGAUAAAAAGAGCAUAGGCAGUCUUAAGACUGGAGAGAGAUUGAAAACAGGUACAACAAAUUACAGGGAGAUUGAGCUGUCAUCUUUGAGCAUGUAAAAAUAACUUGUGUUCAUGUUUGUUCAAGAAUAUAAGUGAUUACACCUAGAAUACACUGGAAUACUGAGCCUAAAAGAAGCAGGGCAAGAAGAGAUACUAAGCAAAGAAAAUCCUGGCAGGUGGGAAUCAGCGUGAACUGGCCCGCCAAAAGAACCUGAAGAAGACUCAGGAGAUCCACAAAGGGAAAAGGAAAGAAGAUAGCUUGUCUGCUUCUCAGAGAAAACAGAGAGACUCUGAAAUCAUGCAGCAAAAACAAAAAGCGGCCAAUGAAAGGAAGUCUCUGCAGGCAGGAGCAAAAUGAACUGUCUCUACGGAGGAGAUCUAAUGAGUGCAUCAAUGAAGCUAAAGGGCCUAGAAGA